rnacentral:rRNA from 1 species
UUAAAGCGGUACGCGAGCUGGGUUCAGAACGUCGUGAGACAGUUCGGUCCCUAUCUUCCGUGGGCGUAGGAACGUUGAGGAGAGCUGACCCUAGUACGAGAGGACCGGGUUGGACGUGCCACUGGUGCACCAGUUGUUCUGCCAAGAGCAUCGCUGGGUAGCUACGCACGGAUGAGAUAACCGCUGAAAGCAUCUAAGCGGGAAGCCAACUCCGAGAUGAACGUUCCCUGAAGUACGCUUGAAGACUACAAGCUUGAUAGGCUGGAUGUGUACGCAGAGUAAUCUGUUUAGCUGACCAGUACUAAUAGUACGUUUGUCUUUUUUAUAGUUCAUUU